rnacentral:rRNA from 1 species
GACGAACGCUGGCGGCGUGCCUAAUACAUGCAAGUUGAGCGAUGAAGAUUGGUGCUUGCACCAAUUUGAAGAGCAGCGAACGGGUGAGUAACGCGUGGGGAAUCUGCCUUUGAGCGGGGGACAACAUUUGGAAACGAAUGCUAAUACCGCAUAACAACUUUAAACAUAAGUUUUAAGUUUGAAAGAUGCAAUUGCAUCACUCAAAGAUGAUCCCGCGUUGUAUUAGCUAGUUGGUGAGGUAAAGGCUCACCAAGGCGAUGAUACAUAGCCGACCUGAGAGGGUGAUCGGCCACAUUGGGACUGGGACACGGCCCAAACUCCUACGGGAGGCAGCAGUAGGGAAUCUUCGGCAAUGGACGAAAGUCUGACCGAGCAACGCCGCGUGAGGGAAGAAGGGUUUCGGAUCGUAAAACUCUGUUGGUAGAGAAGAACGUUGGUGAGAGUGGAAAGCUCAUCAAGUGACGGUAACUACCCAGAAAGGGACGGCUAACUACGUG